GACGAACGCUGGCGGCGUGCUUAACACAUGCAAGUCGAACGGAAAGGCGCUGCUCUUGUGGGGUGCUCGAGUGGCGAACGGGGGAGUAACACGUGAGUAACCUGCCCUUGACUUUGGGAUAACUUCAGGAAACUGGGGCUAAUACCGGAGAGGAGCUCCUGCUGCAUGGGGGGGGUUGGAAAGUUUCGGCGGUGUGGGAUGGACUCGCGGCUUAUCAGCUUGUUUGUGGGGUAGUGGCUUACCAAGGCUUUGACGGAUAGCCGGCCUGAGAGGGUGACCGGCCUCCUUGGGCCUGCGAUACGGCGCAGACUCCUACGUGACGCAGCAGUCGGGAAUCUUGCGCAGUGGCCGGACGUCUGAUGCGGCAACGCUGCGUGCGGGAUGACCGCCUUCGAGUUAUAAACCGCUUUCGCAUGUGCCGAACCCUGCGUGACGGUAAUGGGUCAAGAAGCACCGGCUAACUACGUG
rnacentral:rRNA from 1 species